CACCAAUCCCCCUGGGCUUCUUGUCCCGGGGGCUGUUGGGGAUCGCCGAGCGUCCACUCGGCGUCCCCUAAACCUAGUGGCAGCCUCGCCGCGGCCUCCCCUGCGUAGUAAAACACUCUCGCAGGCGGAACCACAGCGAAGGGUCGCCGUAAAACCCCCAACUUCUUAAU
rnacentral:misc_RNA from 1 species